rnacentral:lncRNA from 1 species
UCUUUCAGUUCCCAAAUAGGUGUGACAGUUAUAACACAGCUCAACGUAGGCUAGUUGUAGUAACGUAUGAAUAAAUAUGUACGUCCAGUAUCCAUUAUAUCAGUCAUCACUCAUCAGCACAUCACCAAACAGAACGACUGAUAAGGUUAGGUCAAUAUGUAAUGUUUGUUUUAUCAAGGUAAAAGCUAGGGUUAAGUGGGACGGCGGGUGAAUCGGGAAAGGGUCGAAUACUUUUAAAUUGAAUAAAAGUUAUUUUUUAAAAGCCAUUCAAAAUAUGUUGUUUAGCAAACGAGCAAACAGGCUAUGUUGUUCACAUUCUUCGUUCAGUGGGAAUUCCUAUUUUGUGAUAUGUGAUGUCGACAGGACAGUCUCAGCAGAUUGUUCACAGAACUGGCUGAAUCCAUUAAAGUGUCAGACCACCAACACAAUACAAAAAAACAGGUCUCAUUCAGUGCUUUCUAUGAGGCAAGACUGCACACCUAGAGUUCAGCGUUGUUGGCAGUAUCCCAUUUUUAGAAGGUGCAUGUAUACAUAGCAGGGAGUUCAGUACGUUCACCUCCAGCAGCCAGUUUCCGUUCAAUGCAACCAGCGCCAGCAGAGACUUUCCCUUUAUGGACGAAAGAAUGUCAAAACAAUAUAAGAGAAAGAAAAAAGAAGGAACAAAUCGUGAACUUUCCACAGCAGGCGUGGUGCAGCAGCUACUUUCGAGUGUGACUGCAUGCUGCAGUUUGCACGCGCAACAACGGGGAAAAGGUGCGACAAAGUUGCGGAGGCUAUAGGUCUCGGGAUAUCCGUUGUGUUUUCUUCGCACCACACUUCCAGUCGGAAAACGUGACGUGAUGGACCUGCUUCGGCAUUCUCGUCUCAUGGCGUUUCUUUUCGUCAUCAUCUCCUUCCAAAUUCACGACGCAAAUGCCGUUCCAAUGGUUUCGUAUCGAGUCGGUAAUCAGCUAAGGCUUAGUCCAGUUUUAGUGCCCGUUUCAUCAACAGUGAUGCCCGUCGAUCUGAUGAAGACGAACCAUCGUUCGUCCGACGAGAGGUUAACCCCGUUAGCUAAUCAACCAAAGGCCGAAUUUCGAAAAUCAAAACGUGAAAAGACCGAGUCGUUUUUCUGGCCACUUAAAUUGUAUUGAGAUUUUUUUUGAAUAUCGAGAAAUAUCGAGUGUAACGUUUAUUGUGACAUCAGCAUGUUUAAAAUUUUGUAGUAUUGCCGUUGAUGCGGUAUCGUAGACGUGAAUUGGAGAGCGCCACGUUACAGACGAAAGUGAUAGUAUGCUGUUUUAUUCAUGAAAUUAAGUAGCCUAGUGAAAGUUGCUUGAAAAAGAAGCCAAUCCGGAAUAAGAUACCUCAACCCCGGUAAAAGGUGUGGUUGUAUUUUUAUUUUUUCGUGUCUCUGUUUUCUUUUGUUUCUGUUUUUUUUGAAAGACUGAGCAAUUCCCAAGAUAAGAAUCUGUGCCAACACAAUCACAAUUGUGGUCUAUCUGUGCAUCCGUCUCCCAGCAAAGCGUUACAUGCCAAGCGAUGAAAUGGGGUUUUCCCAGAAUUAUCCUGAACACCAAGUCGAAGAAAAAUGUUAACCGAAGUUCUUUGUCUGACUCAUUGAUAAAUGUUAUACCGGUUCAUAUAAGUAAUGUCGCAUUGUAAACUACAUUCGAAGUACAUACACAAUAUUGGCAGUAUA